rnacentral:rRNA from 1 species
UACGAAGGGGGCUAGCGUUGCUCGGAACCACUGGGCGUAAAGGGUGCGUAGGCGGGUCUUUAAGUCAGGGGUGAAAUCCUGGAGCUCAACUCCAGAACUGCCUUUGAUACUGAGGAUCUUGAGUUCGGGAGAGGUGAGUGGAACUGCGAGUGUAGAGGUGAAAUUCGUAGAUAUUCGCAAGAACACCAGUGGCGAAGGCGGCUCACUGGCCCGAUACUGACGCUGAUGCACGAAAGCGUGGGGAGCAAACAGG